GACGAACGCUGGCGGCGUGCUUAACACAUGCAAGUCGUACGGUAAGGCCCUUUCGGGGGUACACGAGUGGCGAACGGGUGAGUAACACGUGAGUAACCUGCCCACAACUUUGGGAUAACGCUAGGAAACUGGUGCUAAUACUGGAUAUGUUCUCCUGCUGCAUGGUGGGGGUUGGAAAGCUCCGGCGGUUGUGGAUGGACUCGCGGCCUAUCAGCUUGUUGGUGGGGUAGUGGCCUACCAAGGCGGCGACGGGUAGCCGGCCUGAGAGGGUGACCGGCCACAUUGGGACUGAGAUACGGCCCAGACUCCUACGGGAGGCAGCAGUGGGGAAUAUUGCACAAUGGGCGCAAGCCUGAUGCAGCAACGCCGCGUGCGGGAUGACGGCCUUCGGGUUGUAAACCGCUUUCAGCAGGGACGAAGCUUUUUGUGACGGUACCUGCGGAAGAAGCACCGGCUAACUACGUG
rnacentral:rRNA from 1 species